GAAAUAAACCUGAUGAGUUGCUGCUGGUUCUCUAGGGAGCAUGUGCACACUUGUCAUCUUUAUAUCUCCACCUGUGCACCUUUUGUAGACCUGGAUAUCCCUCUGAAUGCUAGUCACUCAGGUUUGAGGAUUGACUUUAUGUCUCUCCUUGCAUUUCCAGGCCUAUGUUUCUUUAUAUACCCAAUGUAUGUCAUAGAAUGUAAUCAAUGGGCCUUUGUGCCUAUAAACCUAUACAACUUUCAGCAACGGAUCUCUUGGCUCU
rnacentral:misc_RNA from 1 species